rnacentral:rRNA from 1 species
CCCUUAGAUGUUCUGGGCAGCACGCGCGCUACAAUGGUCUUCGCAAACGGAUGCAUUCUCGAAGGAGAAUGCCAAUCUUGGAAUCUAUGCCUUGGUCGGGACAGUUGCUUGCAAUUUUUCGACUCGAACCAGGAAUUCCUUGUAAUCGUGAUUCAUCACAUCACGAUGAAUACGUCCCUGCCCUUUGGACACACCGCCCGUCGCUCCUACCGAUCGAAGAGUUAGGUGAAUUGUUUUGAUCGAUAAGAUUUGACUAUGGUCAACUCUCGUUGUGAAAUUCUGUGAAUCUGACUGUUUAGAGGAAGGAAAAGUCGUAACA